rnacentral:rRNA from 1 species
AGAGUUUGAUCCUGGCUCAGGAUGAACGCUAGCGGCAGGCCUAAUACAUGCAAGUCGAACGUGAUUGUUGUAGCAAUAUGACAUGAAAGCGGCGCACGGGUGCGUAACACGUAUGCAAUCUACCUUUAACAGGAGAAUAGCUUCGAGAAAUCGGAAUUAAUACUCCAUAACAUCAAUUGGUGGCAUCACCGAAUGAUCAAACCUCCGGGGGUUAAAGAUGAGCAUGCGCAACAUUAGCUAGUUGGUAAGGUAAUGGCUUACCAAGGCUACGAUGUUUAGGGGGUCUGAGAGGAUGAUCCCCCACACUGGUACUGAGACACGGACCAGACUCCUACGGGAGGCAGCAGUAGGGAAUAUUGGGCAAUGGAGGAAACUCUGACCCAGCCAUGCCGCGUGCAGGAUGACGGCCCUCUGGGUUGUAAACUGCUUUUAUACGGGAAGAAAAAGCACUACGUGUAGUGUACUGACGGUACCGUAAGAAUAAGGAUCGGCUAACUCCGUGCCAGCAGCCGCGGUAAUACGGAGGAUCCAAGCGUUGUCCGGAUUUAUUGGGUUUAAAGGGUGCGUAGGCGGAUCUUUAAGUCAGUGGUGAAAGCCUGCAGCUUAACUGUAGAACAGCCAUUGAAACUGAAGAUCUUGAAUUUGGUUAAAGUAGGCGGAAUGUAUCAUGUAGCGGUGAAAUGCUUAGAUAUGAUACAGAACACCGACAGCGAAGGCAGCUUGCUGAACCAAUAUUGACGCUGAGGCACGAAAGCGUGGGGAGCGAACAGGAUUAGAUACCCUGGUAGUCC